GUUUGCAAGCUGUUACUGUGCUACUGUGAAGCCCUGCUAGAUGAAGCAGAGUUGCUGUGAUGCUUCUUAUAAUCACAUUUGCAGCAGAAAUAUUCAAAUGAAGAUAUUUUUUGCCUGUUUGGAGAAUAGGCAUUUCUUGUCUUCCCUGUGAGUGAACCUUCACAAGAGGUUCUUCUUGAAAAUGGUGCUUUGCCCGCCCGUAGGUUGGCAUUUCACUUCCUAGGUCCAUUGUG